rnacentral:sRNA from 1 species
ACUGGGUGUGGUGGGGCACACCUGUAAUCCCAGCGGCUCAGGAGGCUGAGUCAGGAGGAUUGAAAGUUCAAUGCCAGCCUCAACAAUUUAGCAAGGCCUUAAGCAACUUAAUGAGACCCUGUCUCAA